rnacentral:rRNA from 1 species
GUAGGUGGCAAGCGUUGUCCGGAAUUAUUGGGCGUAAAGCGCGCGCAGGCGGUUCUUUAAGUCUGAUGUGAAAGCCCACGGCUCAACCGUGGAGGGUCAUUGGAAACUGGAGAACUUGAGUACAGAAGAGGAAAGCGGAAUUCCACGUGUAGCGGUGAAAUGCGUAGAGAUGUGGAGGAACACCAGUGGCGAAGGCGGCUUUCUGGUCUGUAACUGACGCUGAGGCGCAAAAGCGUGGGGAGCAAACAGGGAUUAGAUACCCUGGUAGUCCACGCCGUAAACGAUGAGUGCUAAGUGUUAGGGGGUUUCCGCCCCCUUAGUGCUGCAGCUAACGCAUUAAGCACUCCGCCUGGGGAGUACGGCCGCAAGGCUG